rnacentral:rRNA from 1 species
UGAGGAAUAUUGGUCAAUGGACGCAAGUCUGAACCAGCCAUGCCGCGUGCAGGAUGAAGGUGCUAUGCAUUGUAAACUGCUUUUGUACGAGGGUAAAUGCAGGUACGUGUACCUGUUUGAAAGUAUCGUACGAAUAAGGGUCGGCUAACCUCGUGCCAGCAGCCGCGGUAAUACGGAGGACCCGAGCGUUAUCCGGAUUUAUUGGGUUUAAAGGGUGCGUAGGCGGAUUAGUAAGUUAGAGGUGAAAGCUCGAUGCUCAACAUCGAAAUUGCCUCUGAUACUGUUAGUCUAGAGUAUAGUUGCGGAAGGCGGAAUGUGUGGUGUAGCGGUGAAAUGCUUAGAUAUCACACAGAACACCGAUUGCGAAGGCAGCUUUCCAAGCUAUUACUGACGCUGAUGCACGAAAGCGUGGGGAGCGAACAGGAUUAGAUACC